rnacentral:rRNA from 1 species
UGGGGAAUAUUGCACAAUGGGGGAAACCCUGAUGCAGCGACGCCGCGUGAGCGAAGAAGUAUUUCGGUAUGUAAAGCUCUAUCAGCAGGGAAGAAAUUGACGGUACCUGAGUAAGAAGCUCCGGCUAAAUACGUGCC